rnacentral:lncRNA from 1 species
AAACAUCCAGCCGGUGCCUUUGUGGCCUCUUGGGCUGGGUUGCAAUCUCAUGCCAACCCGCUUGCCGGUUGUCAGGAGGCCUCUGGGGAGGACGCUGCAGGAGCCUCAAACGCCACCUACUCCCGGCCUCUCUCCCGGUUGAUGUUUCUAUUUUGGGCACCACAUUAUUUCCUGCUGUGAUUUUUUUUUUCAGGCUUCUAAUUCAGGCUCUGAGGAAUGGGAGUCCAACGCUUCCGUGUCCGAAGUCUGUUUAACUAUAUUUGGACAAUGACCCUUUAGAGAUGCUGAUAAAGGCUACACAGAAUCCCAGAAACUGUCCACAACAAACUCACAGCAGACAAAAUGGUAAAGCUCCCGGGAGUCUCACCCAUCCCAGUCCAUGGGGGUGACUUUAGCUGAGACUCCUAGCAGUGAGGAUAUGGAGCCUGUUGUGCUUGUAGACAGGAGCCUAGCAUAACUCCUCUGACAGCUACCCAGCAGCUGACUGAAACAGAUGCUGAGUCCCACAGUCAAACAUUAAAUGGAGCUUGGGGACUCUUGUGGAAGAGUUGUGGGAAGGAUUGCAGGCCCUGAAGGAAAUAGGAACUCUACAAGAAGACCAACAAAGUCAACUAACCUGGACCACUAGGGGCUCCCAGAAACUGAACCAUCAACCAAAGAGCAUACACAGGCUGGACCUAGGCCUCCUUGCACAUAUGGAACAGAUAUGUAGCUUGGUCUUCAUGUGGAUCUCCCAACAACUGGAGCAAGGGCUGUCCCUGAAUCUGUUGCCUGCCUGUGGGUCCUGUUCCCUUAACUAGGCUGCCUUGUCUGGCCUCAGUGGGAAAGGAUGUGCCUAGCCCUGCAAAGACUUGAUGUACCUAGGUUGGGGGAUAACCGAGGGAAGAGGGAGGGUUCCAUCUUCUCAGAGGAAAAGGGGAUGGGGGACUGUGUGAAGGAGGUACGGGGAGAGGGGAGCAGCAAUUGGGAUGUAAAGUGAAUAAAUAUAUAUAUCAAUGAAUAAGUAGGAAAAACGAUCAAGUUCCUCACAUGGCUGAAAGUGAAAGAGGCAGCGUCUUUUAAAAGGUCUUGGUCACUGGAGGUUUUUUUUUGCUUUUGAAUCACAUGCACCUUGUCUGCUGUUGCCUUUAUGAACAUGUAACAUCCAAUAAAUUUUGUUUUUUAAAUCUUUAU